CUUCCACACAUCACAAUCACCCAGAACACUUUGUGUUAGGUUAGAAGGAACACUGUUUUGCUGAUUGUGGACAAGCUGUCAAAAGACUUUCUGCUAUUUUUUUGUCAUCUCAUUGGCUCUGAAAUCUAUGCGUUGGGACACCCUUCUAUGCCUUUGUGACAA